CGGACGGGUGAGUAACACGUGGAUAACCUACCUAUAAGACUGGGAUAACUUCGGGAAACCGGAGCUAAUACCGGAUAAUAUAUUGAACCGCAUGGUUCAAUAGUGAAAGACGGUUUUGCUGUCACUUAUAGAUGGAUCCGCGCUGCAUUAGCUAGUUUGUAAGGUAACGGCUUACCAAGGCAACGAUGCGUAGCCGACCUGAGAGGGUGAUCGGCCACACUGGAACUGAGACACGGUCCAGACUCCUACGGGAGGCAGCAGCC
rnacentral:rRNA from 1 species